rnacentral:rRNA from 1 species
CUAUUUACAGGCUUAACACAUGCAAGUCGAGGGGCAUCAGGAAGAAAGCUUGCUUUCUUUGCUGGCGACCGGCGCACGGGUGAGUAACACGUAUCCAACCUGCCCUUUACUCGGGGAUAGCCUUUCGAAAGAAAGAUUAAUACCCGAUGGCAUAAUGAUUCCGCAUGGUUUCAUUAUUAAAGGAUUCCGGUAAAGGAUGGGGAUGCGUUCCAUUAGGUUGUUGGUGAGGUAACGGCUCACCAAGCCUUCGAUGGAUAGGGGUUCUGAGAGGAAGGUCCCCCACAUUGGAACUGAGACACGGUCCAAACUCCUACGGGAGGCAGCAGUGAGGAAUAUUGGUCAAUGGGCGCUAGCCUGAACCAGCCAAGUAGCGUGAAGGAUGAAGGCUCUAUGGGUCGUAAACUUCUUUUAUAUAAGAAUAAAGUGCAGUAUGUAUACUGUUUUGUAUGUAUUAUAUGAAUAAGGAUCGGCUAACUCCGUGCCAGCAGCCGCGGUAAUACGGAGGAUCCGAGCGUUAUCCGGAUUUAUUGGGUUUAAAGGGAGCGUAGGUGGACUGGUAAGUCAGUUGUGAAAGUUUGCGGCUCAACCGUAAAAUUGCAGUUGAUACUGUCAGUCUUGAGUACAGUAGAGGUGGGCGGAAUUCGUGGUGUAGCGGUGAAAUGCUUAGAUAUCACGAAGAACUCCGAUUGCGAAGGCAGCUCACUGGACUGCAACUGACACUGAUGCUCGAAAGUGUGGGUAUCAAACAGGAUUAGAUACCCUGGUAGUCCACACAGUAAACGAUGAAUACUCGCUGUUUGCGAUAUACAGUAAGCGGCCAAGCGAAAGCAUUAAGUAUUCCACCUGGGGAGUACGCCGGCAACGGUGAAACUCAAAGGAAUUGACGGGGGCCCGCACAAGCGGAGGAACAUGUGGUUUAAUUCGAUGAUACGCGAGGAACCUUACCCGGGCUUAAAUUGCAGUGGAAUGAUGUGGAAACAUGUCAGUGAGCAAUCACCGCUGUGAAGGUGCUGCAUGGUUGUCGUCAGCUCGUGCCGUGAGGUGUCGGCUUAAGUGCCAUAACGAGCGCAACCCUUAUCUUUAGUUACUAACAGGUUAUGCUGAGGACUCUAGAGAGACUGCCGUCGUAAGAUGUGAGGAAGGUGGGGAUGACGUCAAAUCAGCACGGCCCUUACGUCCGGGGCUACACACGUGUUACAAUGGGGGGUACAGAAGGCAGCUAGCGGGUGACCGUAUGCUAAUCCCAAAAGCCUCUCUCAGUUCGGAUCGAAGUCUGCAACCCGACUUCGUGAAGCUGGAUUCGCUAGUAAUCGCGCAUCAGCCACGGCGCGGUGAAUACGUUCCCGGGCCUUGUACACACCGCCCGUCAAGCCAUGGGAGCCGGGGGUACCUGAAGUACGUAACCGCAAGGAUCGUCCUAGGGUAAAACUGGUGACUGGGGCUA